GAGGAGGUAAACCAGGAGAAGGGUAAAUCAAUAUUUCCAGGGCACACAGCCGUAAGAAAGGACACUGCUCACAUCUGACAGCCAUUCCAAGUAGAGGAUGUCCGUAAAGGUGGGAGCCAAGCCUCAGGGCCUUCUUUGCACAAGAAACAUCUCAGCCCGGGCUCUGAUGACAUCUCUUUGUCACCGCCAGCACAAUGUUUCCCUCCCAGAUGGAUGGACCGUUCCCAGAGGCCUCUGGCUUCCCUCUUGCCUGCCUAAACGUGGCUGUCUUUGGCUCUGAGGCACUGUCACAUGACACAAAGGAGCACAGGUUACGGUGAGGAGCCGACCUUCAUCUGAGGAGGACUGGGGCUGUGCAGACCCUGGGUCUCUUGGCUUCCCUCCUUUAUAUCAAGCAGUCCUUCCUGAACCUCAAAGAGGAGGCGACAUCAGCCAUGGCAUCUCCAGAAGAUACAUUCCACGGCUGCGUAAAGAAGGGUUCUGAGGAUUAGGAUCAGAAAAUACAAGGAAGUUUGGUUACUUUUUCCCUUGGUGGAUGUUUUAGAAGUUUCUCCUGUACUUUCCUCGAUUUACAAAUUCAUUCCUCAAAGGCUGUGCUGGUUGUCAACCCUUUCCCACCCCAGCACCCUUGAGUGGCCCGCUUCCCAUCAGUACCCACCUCUGAGGAUGCCAGGGAACCUCUGGCUGGGGUGUAAUUAUCUCCAAGGGCACUGUUAGCUUGAUAAGGAGGAGCUUCUUCAUGCUCCUCAGAGGGAAAGCAUUUAAGAGUGUGUUUCCAAGGUUCAGCUGCUCCUCUAAUAACAAUAAUAAUUACCUUAAUGUUCUUCAAUAGGGGAUUAGUUAAACAAAUUAUGGUACAUCCAUGGUACAUGAUGCAGCCAUUAAAUUAAAUGAAGCAGAACAAUACACUGUACCUGUUUCUCCCGCAAUCCGAAGGUAGACCUUUCCUAUGAAACCUGAAACGAUGACAUUCAGUGAAGAAGCAAUUACCAUUCAUUUGUCCAAGACACCCCCGCCCCGCCCCAAAUAACCUUUUUAAGGCUAUUCUGAUACCUUAGGACACAUCUUGCUCACGGAUGCACGAAAUAAAUGAAAGCUACAGACGUUUGAGGUGGAGACA
rnacentral:lncRNA from 1 species